rnacentral:tRNA from 1 species
UCCCUGAUAGCUUAGCUGGUAAAGAAUCUGCCUGCAAAGUAGGAGACCCUGGUUCAAUUGCUAGGUCAGGAA